rnacentral:rRNA from 1 species
UUGUCAACGUUUUAACAUAAAUCAUCGUCGAAGCAAUGCUUGUAAAACAAAGGACAAGGACUUACUGAAAUGGACUAUUUGUAUCUUUUGUUUAAACUAAUCAAUGUGUUUUAGAUUAUUUAAAUAUAAUAUCGUAUGAUUUAUAUUAACGUGGAGUAAUCUAGGUUUUAUUAGUAAUAGUCUGAAGACGGAGUGUUCAAGAUAGUAGAAACUGUAGAAAAGUGUUAGUUUGCGUCUAUAUCAUCCGUGAUGUAUUAGUCCAUACAAGUCUUUCGGUUCUAACUCCGACAGAUUUUGCUUUCGGACAACAUAAAAAUACUUUCGUUUUGUUAAUCAAAGUAACUUAACAGUUUACUAUUUGAUCUUCUUUCUUUUUUUACUUAUACGUAGCAUGAAUAAACUUAAUUUAAUGAGUGGACGUUCUCAUCGCCUGUCGAUCUUUGUAUAAACUAUCUAAAAAACCAAAAGUUAAGUAAGACUCGAAAAGAACGACGUAAGUAUUAAAGUAGUUAACGACGACUCGUCUUCAACAUACUACCAUAAAGUAAACCACACUCAUCACUUGGGGUCUUUAGAAACCGUGGUACUAAACGUAACGAUGUUCGAUAAUUCUUUAUUGGGUCAUACUUCGUUUGUUUUCUUCAGAACUUAACCAGUUGGACACAACGUAGGUAUGGUAAACCCAUGAGGGACGAAUAAUAACAAAGUCGGUGGAAGUUCAACAAGUAGAGAACUCCUAGCAUACAUUGUCUAGGGUAAUAUUCAGUGUUCUUAAAAUAAAAGAGCAGAUGACUAACCGUCAGGUUAGGAGAGUUAUAGAAUCUUGGAAAUCCAUAAGAAUCUUAAGACACAUGUAGUAGUAGUCAAUAAGCGUCGCUUUGAAAAAGUAAGUCAGAAUAACAAGAUCAUAGUCCUAGUCACAACGUCUCAUCGUCAUGAGACUUGAAAGAUAGAUUGACAAAUAAACACCUUCCAGGUUGUCAGGAGGUUUUAGGUAUAGAAAGUGUUCGAAGGAAAAUAUUAAUAGUUUGAACGAAUAGUGACGACGUUGGAAAAACGUUCUUGAAGAUCCUCAACGACGUAGUGUAAGUCUUCGUAGAUUUAAAAAUCUUAGUAACCUGCAGGAGAGACUUGAUACUAGUACAGGACUGUACAACAUCGUUUAGGAUCCUUUCAUGUCAUCCAUUGUUUAAUCUAAAGAAAGUGAAAUUUACUUGAGACAAAGUUAGUAAAGAAAUUUAUACAUAUUACUUUUUAAUAUACCUAUUUCAACGAUUAUUGUUUUCAACUAUAUGUUACCAGUUCAUUUUAUAAGGUAAGAAAGACACAAUUUAGAUUAAGGUUAUACGUCCUUUAAUCUACUCAAUCGAAUCAACACCUUACAUUCUUGUGUUGGAUAAAAGACCAAUAAAUGAUAUAUAUAUAUAUAUAUAUAUAUAUAUAUAUAUAUAUGUAUAGUCAUUUAUACAAUAUCCUAUAUAGAACUCCUAUAUGUACAAAUAAUUACAGAAGAUAAAAAGUGAGCUACUUUUAAAUGUAAACAAAAAAUCGCUCGUGCAGUUAUUAUAAUGUGAAUGUUGACAUUAAUUACUUUGUUAUAACCUCAAUUGGAAACAUCAUCGUUCACUUUACUAUAUAGUGAUUUAUAAGUGUAAAGUUACGUCUUGAUUUUAAGACAUGUAUAGUGAUUUAUACAAUAUGUUAUGAAUAAGUACUAUAUGUAAAGAUAAUAACAUUACACAAAAGGUCACUUAUUUUUCACUUUCCACUAUAUGUACAAAUGGUAUAAGGUCGUUUGGUAACAUUGUCCUUAACUUUAUGAUAUAGUAAUUGAAUUGUAUAAAGUCACAUCUUUUUUUUAAUUCGAUAGAACGUCCGAAGGCUAAACUACCAGGUUUAUUUGUAUCUCCAUACAUCGUCUAACCUUCUUUUACCAUUCAAGACGAGCUUACCUCGUCUUUAUACAAACAAGUUGUCUUUCUUUUAAAUUCUCUAACUUGAUUGACUUUGUUUUAGGAAUGAUUGGAGAAAAACAAUUUCUUAGAACACAAAGAAGUCUAGUCAUGUUGAGAUCAACGGUAGUAUUCGCGGCUCUAUAAACCUAACUCUAACCUUCUCUUCAUAGUGAGAAAUCGACUACGUCAGUUCUCCAUCUUCUUCUUGUAGUUACCGCUAACUCACUCUCGAGACCCAAUGUCUCACGAACAUACCGACACUCCAACUCCAUACCCGUCUCUAUCACCCUCUCUACCCAACGGAUCAUGGUGCGCACGACACUGUCUUCAGCAACGGAGCCAGAUACUUUAUCUAACCUGUACCUAUACUGUUGUGUGAUGUGACGGAAUUACCAAUCAUGAUAAACCAUCGUCUGUACAUUUAAAAUGUGUAACCGGUGGAUCAAUCGUAAGUAUACAUUUAAGGAAAACCGUCAUAAUAUAGUGUAAUUUUUAAUGUACAGUGACUUUGUUCUCUGGGUUGUCACUUUGAAGAAUAACAUACCUCCACAAUAUACACUUUUUUGUUCAUCCUCACAAUAUUUUUGUCAACAGGGCCUAUAAAGGUAACAGACCAAAGUUUAAAACCUCCAUGUAAAACCACCCUUUGAAUGGAGAUCUUCAUCAUCAUAUUUUCGGUCCGACCCUGAACAGGUACGGGGGAGGGCUACUUUUAGAAUGAGGUGUUACUCGGUCCUUCUCUUGUUACAACACCGAGAGAGUCGGAAGUGGUUACCGUCGUAACUACGCUUAGGCUACCUUCUUUUAGAAUCAAAGAGGUUCUUUUAUAGCCUACCCUCGAGUACACUUCUACUACGACUGAGAUCGUCUGCAAGUCAUGUAUGUUUUUAGAACUUCCUGUUGGUACACCUUGUUUAUCUUCAUUCGUGUGAAAUCAUGUAAUUUGAAGGUAAGCACCUACUAAUUAUACAAGAAAGAUACGUCGUAGGAAACAAUCAUCAACUUCUUCUGGUAAACGACCUCGUACAACCUCUUUUGUAACAACAACUCGUAUAUGUAAAACUUCGUCUCGAUCUACUUCCGCUGCGACGCAGACUACAACUUCAACUUUCUCAUGUAGCACAUGUACUCCUCGGUUAAUGUAUGAAGGUCGACGCAUCCUAACCACGCCUACCUUCUAGCUACUUCUCCUCUUCUUAGCUACUCAUUGAAACUUUGUACCUUGAACGUCUACCAUCUUCACAAAGUAUAAAGUAAAACACACAGUUGUAUCAACCGUAAAAGAAAACCCAAGUUUAAUGUUCUAUAAGAGAUAGGACAUAAUUCAUCUAAAUUUUUCAACACCGGUUAUAUACAAUCAAGAAUCAAUUGCAAAUUUUAACUUCAACGAAGAAUAAAUUAUUAAA